CACAAUUUAACCUCAGCAGAGAGGGGCAGGAGUGCUGUGUCCUGCUCUCCCCCCAGUGAAGGAGCAGGAUAUGCCAGGCACAGCAAUAAGAGCUGUAGAAUGUGGACCACCCCAUCCCUAGGGCAACCACCAGUGUUAUUUUUCAGAUUAUUGGAUUUUCAUACUGUGACUCAGGUGCAAUGCAAGCAAUGUGACAAUUACAGGAAAACACCUGUUAGUAUCAGGUGUAAGGUGCCUUUAGCAGGUAUUGGUGAAGUUAUAGUGAAAUAACCUGAGAAUAAACCUGGGUAAUGCAUUGUUAUAAAGAUGUUCAAAGACAGUAGAAAGCUCCUCCAAUCUGAGGCUGCAGGGGAAAACAGAAGGCUUGAUUUUAAUUCAAGCCCUUGGGAAAAUCAGAAACCUGGACAUGAAGGUGAGGUAGCACAAGGAGUACCAGUUUGAUCCCCCUGUGGAUGGUGGCAGACUCCAGCCCAAAGAUAUUGUGGGUGAUGCUGACAGGGCUGACACUCUUCUUGAAGCCUGAAGAAUCACAACCCAAACAAUCACUUGAAAACAACAAGUGUUGGUUGGGAACAAGGCAGAAGUAUUUCAAAUGACUCUGUUUUGAAUCUGCUGGAGCCAGCAUCAGCUUGGAGAAACUUGGAGUGGAUCAGCAUUCUACUUUGAGCUUCCAACUUGGUUACAGCUGCCCCUAAUUCUGAGGAGGUUUCUGCUGCAAUACUAUGAUAAAAGAAAUCACACUCUUAACUGACUUCGAGCUGUACAGUCAAUUCCAUGGCCCUCAAGUAUUUGCAGUGACUGGAACUCAUAUGUGAGAAUAUCAAUGGAAGGGAAAUCCACCAAAGAAAGAUGGAAAGAAACUUCCUGGACUCCUCCUGUCAUAGAGAAUCUACUGACUUUUCCACUUAAUUUUCACAGUAAGUGACCCUGAAUCCAAAAUGUCUGUAAAAUUCACUGUACUUAAUUAGUGUCUUUAAUUUUAUUUAAAAUUACAUGAAGAAAUUAAAAGUGAUCUUUUUUUGUUUUGUUGCAGUGCAGUGCAUCAUUUUAGGACCAGGCAUUUUCACAAUCUUUUUUCACAGAGUGCUGAGUGCUUUGUUUUAUUUUUAGUGUAAUGAUAAGUCAAAGUAAGGCUUACAAAAUCGCAGGUCCAGAUAUCUGAAAUACAAUCAUCCAUCAAAAACCCUCAGUGGGACAAUUACAGCCCCCACAUCCUCCCACAGCAAACCACGACUGUAGGAGAAGAAUUUUUGGGGGCUGCAGCUGACAUUAGACAACGUGAGGUACUCUUGCUUCAGCCUUCAUGAAAUCACCUGCUGUGAGUCUUAGUGAUGAGAUUCACGUUUUCUCCAUUAAUACCAGCUUUACAUAUUCUGCAGUUUAUUUCAGCAUCUGUGGUGAUGAUAUCUGUUUAAAUUAGGUGUGAAUCUCUUACGUGGUUUUCAUGUUCUUUACAGAGUAAGUACAGCUUUAAAUACUCCUUCAAUAUAAAGUACAUAUCCAAUUCUUCCUCUUCACCAUUGAGUGCCCCCAGCAUUGCUUUUUCUGCCUCAGGUGUGUUUUCAUUGCUUCCCAAUAUCCUCUUUGCUUCUUGGAAGCCAGAAAAGACCCCAAUAUCUUCAUUCCUUCCUAAUGGUUUUCAGUGUUCUUCCUUCCUCUAUUUUAACUCACUCUAGAAACCGAUCUUCAGAUGAUACACAUUUUAUUGUCAUUUAGAUGAAUGUAAAGGAACAGGAAAUGAGGUCUAAGGUGUUACUCUGGUUUAAACAAAGAGUGCUGUGAUUUGCUAAUGCUCUGCACAGACUGCAGAGCCCUGAGGUGCCGGAAAAGAUCCUCAGCAGUGAGUGAUCAAGUCCAGAAUCUUGCUGUGCCAUAUGCAGACCAGUCAGACCGGUGGUGCUUCUGUGCCUUUCCCUCACAGGAAAUGUUUCAUGGGGAGCCUGAGCUCCGAGUCAGACUUUUUUGUUGUCGGUUGAGAAAUUCAUUUGCAAAGGUGUAUAUAAGAGGAUAACAAUUACUUGUUGGGGACAAUAAUAUUACUAACAGUAAUAAUGACAGAAUCCAUCAGUGAGAAAAUGCAUGUGUUUAUUCCUCUGUGUCUUCAAGUGCAUCAGAUGAAAAUUUGAGCUAUAGAUGUAUCACAUGGAAAACCAUAUGGCAACAUGCGUGCUUGGAAAGGCUUUUGACUUGACUAAAUAAAUUUCUCAGCAAGCUUGUCCUUGCUGACUGCAGGGUUUUGGGGAUUAUAAGACGAAUGUGGACAAGGCUGUCAUGUCCUUCAGCAUUUUCAGCAUGAUGUAAGUAUGA